rnacentral:rRNA from 1 species
AUUGAACGCUGGCGGCAUGCCUUACACAUGCAAGUCGAACGGUAACGGGCCUUCGGGUGCCGACGAGUGGCGAACGGGUGAGUAAUGUAUCGGAACGUACCUUUCAGUGGGGGAUAACGUAGCGAAAGUUACGCUAAUACCGCAUAUUCUGUGUGCAGGAAAGCAGGGGCUCGCAAGACCUUGCGCUGAUUGAGCGGCCGAUAUCAGAUUAGCUAGUUGGUGAGGUAAAGGCUCACCAAGGCGACGAUCUGUAGCGGGUCUGCGAGGAUGAUCCGCCACACGGGAACUGAGACACGGUCCAGACUCCUACGGGAGGCAGCAGUGGGGAAUUUUGGACAAUGGGGGCAACCCUGAUCCAGCCAUGCCGCGUGAGUGAAGAAGGCCUUCGGGUUGUAAAGCUCUUUCGGCCGGGAAGAAAUCGUAUCAGCUAAUACCUGAUGCGGAUGACGGUACCGGCAUAAGAAGCACCGGCUAACUACGUGCCAGCAGCCGCGGUAACAC